UACGGGGGGGGCAAGCGUUGUUCGGAAUUACUGGGCGUAAAGGGCUCGUAGGCGGCCGACUAAGUCCGACGUGAAAUCCCCCGGCUUAACCGGGGAACUGCGUCUGAUACUGGACGGCUUGAAUUCGGGAGAGGGAUGCGGAAUUCCAGGUGUAGCGGUGAAAUGCGUAGAUAUCUGGAGGAACACCGGUGGCGAAGGCGGCAUCCUGGACCGACAUUGACGCUGAGGAGCGAAAGCCAGGGGAGCAAACGGG
rnacentral:rRNA from 1 species